CACAGCCGCGGGAAAACAGAGGGUGCGAGCGUUAAUCGGAUUUACUGGGCGUAAAGCGUGCGUAGGCGGCUUCUUAAGUCGGAUGUGAAAUCCCUGAGCUUAACUUAGGAAUUGCAUUCGAUACUGGGAAGCUAGAGUAUGGGAGAGGAUGGUAGAAUUCCAGGUGUAGCGGUGAAAUGCGUAGAGAUCUGGAGGAAUACCGAUUGCGAAGGCAGCCAUCUGGCCUAAUACUGACGCUGAGGUACGAAAGCAUGGGGAGCAAACAGGAUUAGAUACCCCCGUAGUCCCUGUCUCUUAUACA
rnacentral:rRNA from 1 species